rnacentral:rRNA from 1 species
UACGUAGGGUGCGAGCGUUAAUCGGAAUUACUGGGCGUAAAGCGUGCGCAGGCGGUUUUGUAAGCCAGGUGUGAAAUCCCCGGGCUCAACCUGGGAAUGGCAUUUGGGACUGCAAGGCUGGAGUGCGGCAGAGGAGACUGGAAUUCCUGGUGUAGCAGUGAAAUGCGUAGAUAUCGAGAGGAACACCAGUGGCGAAGGCGAGUCUCUGGACGACUCCUGACACUGAGGCACGAAAGCUAGGGGAGCAAACAGG